rnacentral:rRNA from 1 species
GACGAACGCUGGCGGCGUGCUUAACACAUGCAAGUCGAACGGAAAGGCCCUGCUUUUGUGGGGUGCUCGAGUGGCGAAAGGGUGAGUAAAACGUGAGUAACCUUCCCUUGACUUUGGGAUAACUUCAGGAAACUGGGGCUAAUACCGGAUAGGAGCUCCUGCUGCAUGGUGGGGGUUGGAAAGGUUCGGCGGUUGGGGAUGGACUCGCGGCUUAUCAGCUUGUUGGUGGGGUAGUGGCUUACCAAGGCUUUGACGGGUAGCCGGCCUGAGAGGGUGACCGGCCACAUUGGGACUGAGAUACGGCCCAGACUCCUACGGGAGGCAGCAGUGGGGAAUAUUGCACAAUGGGCGGAAGCCUGAUGCAGCAACGCCGCGUGCGGGAUGACGGCCUUCGGGUUGUAAACCGCUUUCGCCUGUGACGAAGCGUGAGUGACGGUAAUGGGUAAAGAAGCACCGGCUAACUACGUG